rnacentral:tRNA from 1 species
AAGGGUAUAGCUCAGUGGUAGAGUGCCUGCUUAUCAUGCAGGAGGUCCUGGGUUCAAUCCCCAGUACCUUCA